AGGACGAACGCUGGCGGCGUGCUUAACACAUGCAAGUCGAGCGAGGCUCUCUCCUUCGGGAGGGAUGCCCUAGCGGCGAACGGGUGAGUAACACGUGGGCAACCUGCCCCUAGCACUGGGAUAACUCCGGGAAACCGGGGCUAAUACCGGAUACGACCUCUGAGGGCAUCCUCCGGAGGUGGAAAGCAUUGUGGCUAGGGAUGGGCCCGCGGCCUAUCAGCUUGUUGGUGAGGUAACGGCCCACCAAGGCGACGACGGGUAGCCGGCCUGAGAGGGCGACCGGCCACACUGGGACUGAGACACGGCCCAGACUCCUACGGGAGGCAGCAGUGGGGAAUAUUGCACAAUGGGCGAAAGCCUGAUGCAGCGACGCCGCGUGAGUGAUGACUGCCUUCGGGUUGUAAACCUCUUUCAGCAGGGACGAAGCGAAAGUGACGGUACCUGCAGAGAGCACCGGCAACUACGCGCCAGCAGCCGCGGU
rnacentral:rRNA from 1 species